UACGUAGGGUGCGAGCGUUGUCCGGAAUUAUUGGGCGUAAAGGGCUCGUAGGCGGUUUGUCGCGUCGGGAGUGAAAUCCACUGGCUUAACUGGUGGCUUGCUUUCGAUACGGGCAGACUGGAGGUAUGCAGGGGAGAACGGAAUUCCUGGUGUAGCGUGAAAUGCGCAGAUAUCAGGAGGAACACCGGUGGCGAAGGCGGUUCUCUGGGCAUGUCCUGACGCUGAGGAGCGAAAGUGUGGGGAGCGAACAGG
rnacentral:rRNA from 1 species